rnacentral:rRNA from 1 species
UACGGAGGAUCCGAGCGUUAUCCGGAUUUAUUGGGUUUAAAGGGUGCGCAGGCGGGAGAUUAAGUCGGCGGUGAAAUUUUGCAGCUCAACUGUAAAAGUGCCUUCGAAACUGGUUUUCUUGAGUGUGGAUGAAGUAGGCGGAAUUUGUGGUGUAGCGGUGAAAUGCAUAGAUAUCACGAGGAACUCCGAUUGCGCAGGCAGCUUACUAAACUACUACUGACGCUCAGGCACGAAGGCGUGGGGAUCAAACAGGAUUAGAUACCCCUGUA